AAAAUCAAGAACAAAUUAAUUUCUCUUUACCUAUUAAUUAAACAUGUGGGUCAUAUUAUGAAAGACUUAAUAAAAUACAUUACUAUACAACAUUAAAUAAUCUAUCUAAAACAAAUAUUUGACAAGAUAAGAUAUAUAUUUGUAUUUUUUUCUACUUCAAUAGCAUCACUUAUUUUAAAUAUAAGCUUAUAUAAUUUGAAUCUUAAAAAAAAAUCAACUUGUGUUGUAACAUAGGUCAUAAUCUAUUACUGAUUUAGUAGAAUAUCAACACAAUUACAACCCACCAGCAAGUAGAAUAUUUUUCAUAGAAUCAUAGGGACAUAUUACAAUACAUUAAAUAGAUAACAUAAGCAUGUUUUGAACUAAGAAACAUCCUAACUAUCACAGGUUUGGUCUAGAGAACAAGUGAAGUAAGCCAAAGAUUAGAUUAAGAGUUGUCCACCAAUUGAAGAAUGGGAAAGAGCUGAGUUAAUUCAUGAGUUCUUGACCCAUUUGUAGAGAUGACGAAUUUGAUCUCUAGAUCAUCUUAUCCAACAUCUAAUUUAUACUUCAUGCAAGUAUGGCAUAUUGAAAUGUGGUUAAAAGCCAUGAAGAAUCUGAUGAUGAAGUUCUGUAUCAUGGUUGUUGGUAUGCAAGAGAAGUUUGACAAAUAUUGGAGUGAAUACAGUGAUAUCAUUGUCAUUGCAGCAGUGUUUGAUCCAAGAUUGAAGUUCUCUAUGUUACAAUAUUGCUUCGAUACACUUGAUGCUUCCAUUAGUAAAUUUAAGAUUGAACAUGUGCGUAAGAAGCUGAAGAAGCUUUUUGAAGUUUAUAAAGAAUCCAAAGGAAAUUGCAAUUAGAACUUCAAAAACCAUAGUUUGACAAAACAUUCUUCUAGGAUAUGGUGUAAGUUUCCAUCUUUAACCCUCUAUUAAAAACUUUCUAUGUUUUGAUGUAGUGGUUUGAAUCGUUUAUGGUUUAUGUGUAUUGAUGGUUCUCUUAACUUUCACAAUGGAAGAGUUUUAUGCUUUCAUUUCUCAAACGGCUGGGGCUAAUGGAUAGUCAGCAUUAGACAAAUAUUUGAAUGAGCUGGUUUUGGACAUGAUAGCAUUUAAGAGCAUGGAUAUUUUGCAUAUUGGAGAAAUAAUGCAAAUCGGUUCAAGGAGUUGUCUAAAAUUGUAGCUUCAAAAGUCUUCAUUCAGCAUAGGAAGUCGGGUCUUAAACAAGUAUCAGAGUUGUCUCCUUCCCUACUAACGUUUAAGCUUUGAUAUGCGCGAGGAAUUGGCUAUUUGACAUAUUUUCUUUUGUCAUAUUUCAAUCAAUUUGAAUUUAAAUGUAAAUAUGUUUUUUUGUUGUACUUAGAUGAUCAUAUUGAGUUAUUUAAUGAAGACAAAGAUGGCAAGGGAGAAAUAUAAGAAGUUU
rnacentral:sRNA from 1 species